CGAGGAAAUAAAUGGCUUUCUGUAGGUCACGCCGCGUGUGCUGGUCUACCAGGCACCUGGUCUUGAGAGAUGUGUGGGCCAUUCUGUUAUCAGAUGCCAAAUGAUGAACCAUUUUUCCUCUAAAUCAAGGUCUCAGCUUCCUCAGAUGUCAGAUAAGGUA